rnacentral:rRNA from 1 species
UACAGAGGUCUCAAGCGUUGUUCGGAUUCAUUGGGCGCAAAGGGUGCGUAGGUGGCGCCGUAAGUCAGGUGUGAAAUUUCGGAGCUUAACUCCGAAACUGCAUUUGAUACUGCGGUGCUUGAGGACUGGAGAGGAGACUGGAAUUCACGGUGUAGCAGUGAAAUGCGUAGAUAUCGUGAGGAAGACCAGUGGCGAAGGCGGGUCUCUGGACAGUUCCUGACACUGAGGCACGAAGGCUAGGGGAGCAAACGGG